GGAGAGCUCACCUCAGAAACUGCUCAGGGUACGUGGGAUGGGCCAGGUGGGGACCUGCGGCCUCGAACGAAAUGCCGGCCCUGCCCCAGCCGAGCCUCAAAGGACAUCCUUGGACUUGUUUCCUAGAUGGAGGAAUCGAGGUCUCAUGGGACCUUCCUCUGGGGGCCUCCCGAAAGCCCCCCACACCUUCAUGCCCUCCUUCAGUCAGGAUUAGAGUUAAUACCUGUUAACACCUCUUAAGCCCUGUGUGUGGUCCCAUUUGGACCACCUGCUCUCCACCCACCACACCUGCGACUGGCAGGGAGGGCUUUAUUGGCCUGGUUUUUUAUGGAUAGGGAAACUGAGGCACAGAGCCCUCAUCCAAGGAAGGUCACGUGGGACCUCAAUCCCUGCCUGACGAGGCUUCCUUUAGUUUGCUGUGCUGGUAGUGAGCUCCCCAUGACGGGGAUCAAGCUGAGCCACACUCCCAUCAGGGGGCCGGAUCACAGUGGGUAGCCUUCUUGAUUCAUGGGGGGGGGUGUGGGGGGACAAGUCACUGUCCCACUCUGGGCCUCAGAGGCAGUGGCAGGAAGAGAAGGCGUCCAGUAACACCUUCCCUCCUCCUUCAAGGCUCACCUAGCCCAGCCCUGGGGUUCCUGGGCCAAGGAAGCCUGUCUGAAUCCCUCAAGCUCUGGCCUGGAGAAGGGACGUUUCGAGGCCCCUCCUUGGUUCCCCCACACCCAGGGCACCUGGAAGGAACUGCCACACCCGACCGAGCUGCGACGGGACAGCGCCAGGAGAGGCUUCCUCGCCCGCCAGGCUCGAGCCGGUCUUGGAGAUGCCGGCGACGACUAUCACUGAUGGGUGAGGGCCACGGAGUCAUUGAGACCUGGGGCUCCGGGAUCUCCCGGCAUCUUGAGGGGGGAUACAACUCUCGCAUUUGACGGUGGUAGUCAAAGUCACCCAGCAGGUGGACCAGAGGACCCUUUGACAUCUUUUAUUUGCUCCGCGUCUGACAGCACGACCCGUGGAGUCUGCGGGCACUGCGCACUUGUCCCUUUGGGAACAGCUUGCGUCCUCUUCCCCGGGCCAGAUCUUCAACGGAUGGCUGCCGAACUCACAACCCCUCGCGGCGAGAUUCAAAUAGCUCCCUUCAAAGUUCUCCCUGGAAUUGAUGAGUAGCCUAUAAAUAAUGAUAUAUAAUGAUAAUAAGCCUAUCAUCGGGCCCACGAUAGAGGACUACAAGGCUCAUGGCCUCAUUAUCCGCUGCACGUGUCCUGUAACACCCCUACUUUACCUGGGAGAAAACCCAACAGGCCAAGGGUGGAGGUUUGUCCGGGACCUCCGAGCAAUAAAUAGCAUUGUCACCCCUCA